rnacentral:lncRNA from 10 species
UCCUGGCAUCAUUCACGAGGACCUGAAUGGGAGCAAAUGGGAUGGUGGAAACCAGUUUGGCAAUGUACCAGAUUUACUAUGCAGCAUGAGAAGAGGCCCUACUCAAAAUCUUAAGAAACACCAAGAGAAAGAAGAAUCAGGCAGAAGAAGAGAAGCUCCCAAGAAGCCUGAGAAAGAAUGGCUACAGAAAUAGGAGAAAGUGAGGUCAUGGAAAUCAAAUGAAAAGAGUGCUUGGGGAAAGGGAAAGCUAAUUUAAUUUAAUAGAGUAGGACAGGCCUAAAGUUUCAAUUCAUUCAAUUUUAAAAUUAGAAAAAGGAAUAAAACAUUAUUCGACAAAUAAAACAACAAAAAUAUGCUGCAGACCCAUAUUAUAUGCCUCUUCACUCAUAUUUGAUUUUAUCCCCUUUCAGAAAAAAAAAUCGAAGGCCAAGAAAGAAAAAAAAAAAGACCAACAGCAUUCAGCUUGUGGUCCUCCAGGGUCUCACCUCACUUGAGCCUAUGCUUUUAUGUACAAGUUCCAAUUUCCUCUUAAUGGUGAUUCUCUGAAUUUAUCUCCCAUGAGGUCUAUAUCCUCUAAAAAGCCUCAUUUCUCAUACCUAUGCUUCAAUAAAAUAGUCUCACCUCUUUGAUUCCCUUCUCCUGCUCUGUUCUGAGCAAUAACUCCCAUGUAACUCCAACUCACCUUCUCUCAUACUCUUAUAGUAUGCAACUGGAGAGGCAGCAUCCUUAGUUCAAAAAUCCGAAAUCUGAAAUGCUCCAAAAUCCAAAACUUUUUGAGUGCUAACAUGAUGCCACAAGUGGAAAAUUCCAGAUCUUCCCUCAUGAUGGGUCGCAUAUAUUAUUAAAAAUAUUAUAAUAUGUUACCCUCGGGCUAUGUGUAUAGCAUAUGAAAUAUAAAAGAAUUUUGUGUUUAGACUUGAGUCCCAUCCCCAGGAUAUUUAUGUAUAUGUAAAUAUUCCAAAAUCUGAAACACUUCUAGUCCCAAGCAUUUCAGAUAAGGGAUACUCAACCUGUACAUGCACACACAGAAUUCCAUUCCCAGCUAGCACGCUUCCACCAACAGGGAGUUCCAACUUAGAACAGCUGUGUCCCACUCGCAGAGUGGCUGUUAGAGACAGAGUUCUCUCCUCUAUAUGCUUAAAACCAUCUUAGGAAGUAGUUUUAUCUCCAGCUACUGGCUACAGAAUGAGGGGCUAAGGAUCCCUCAUUUAAGAUGUGGGGACCUAUCUUUUGUAUUACUCAAAGCACCCAAAAGUGCACAAUGAAAUCUGUUGCUCUAAAUAGGACAGAGUUCAAAAGACUGUCCUAGAAAACCUUCCAAACACUCAAGGAGAUCAAGGUGAGGGCUGCUGAUUCCACCCUAAUCCAGACAACCAUUAUUAACUAGUGCAAAAAUAAGUUUCUUGAGUGCACCCAAAAGUUCUUUUGCAUAGUCUAAUCAUUUCCUGUUGCAAUAACCUCUUAGGUAUCACAAGCUAAAUAUUCUUAAAAAUUUAGUUGUACUUUCUCACUCAGCCAAACCUGUUGUUUACAAUAAGCAAAGAUGCUCUGUGUACCAGAAUAUCACAGAAUGCCAUGGGAGAAAAGGAGUUCUAGUGACAGAAUAAAAAUUAAAGGUCAUCUAUUAUUUGCACUGCAUUCAGUACUCAUAAAUUCAUUACUUAAGGCUAUCUAGAAUGAGUAGGUUUGUAUUGUGGCUUUCAGGGUCUGUAAAUUACACAGUCAUCAAUGAAGAACAAGGAGAGAAUACAGAAGAGGUCUUAUAACCUUUCCUCUCUUUUUAUUUACCAACUGCAAGACUGGUGGGAGGGGGAACAAGUUCUGUACUUGACAACAUUCCCCCAUAGAGAAUUAAACCUGAGGUGCUAACUAAAAUUAUUUCAUUGUCUUCUUAAGUAAUGGACUCAUUAAUUCUCAUUGAUAUUGAUUAGUGCAGGAAAAUGCAUUACAUUCUAAUUAAUGAGACUGUCUUAGUAAAAGGGGAAAUGUUGCAUAAAGUUAAUUUGA